CUUCGUCUCUUUCCGGCGCUGUGACGUCACACAAGCCAAACAUCCUGUUCAUUCGACGUUGUGUGCUGUUGUUCCCAUCCGUCCUUUAAUUAUGUCACAAUGGUUUAUUGUGUGGCAUUUAGUUGUACAAAUGGUUCAGGCAGCGGCAAGAGUUUUUUUUUUUUUGCCUUUCCAAGUAAAAAAGGAAUACGUGACCAGUGGAUCGGGAAAGUCAAUCAACAGGGGAAUAAACGUGUUCAGCUAUGUGUGCCUAGCAAGCAUUCCAAACUCUGUGCUGAUCACUUCGAACCGGCAUGUUUUGAUAAACAUUUAGCAGACAGCAUUGGAUACAGAGGUGUAGUUUGGCCGAGGCUGAAACCAGCUGCGGUGGCAACUAUUUUUCCAACGGCCAUCGGGACGUCCACCGCCACAAGAGAACUAAAUCUCGCUGCCGUCACAGAGAAGAGGUUACAGAGGUGAAGAACUCCCAGGCCAUGGAGUUGGAGGGCUUGAAGAGAUGAGGAAAGGUGCCACUAUGAAAAACAUUGUGACAGACCGCCACUCUCAAAUUCAAACAUUUCUGUGGGAAACCCAUAAGGACCUUUGCCACUGGUUUGACGUUUGGCAUGUCGCAAAAGGAAUCAAGAAGCAGCUCCUGGCCCUUUCAAAAAUGGCUGGUUGCGAGGCGGUGUUGAAAUGGUCGCCGUCCAUCACCAAUCACAUUUAUUGGUCAGCAGCAUCAAGCAAAGGGAACACUGAGGAAUGUCGGCAGAAGUGGAUGUCAAUCGCCAACCAUGUCGUUAAUGUUCACGAGGGCCAUGGUGACGCAUUUACAGCAUGUCUGUGUGAUGAACUGGUAGAGGAAAGAGAAUGGCUCAUAAAAGGGUCAAAAGCACACAAGGAACUGCUAAUAAUAGUAAAUAGUAAGAUGCUGCUCAAAGACAUCGGCAACAUAUCGCCUAUUCAACAAACAUCAAGCCUUGAAGCCUACCAUAAAGUAGAGCUGUACUUCGCUCCAAAGGCCUCCCAUUUCUCACAUAAGACAAUGAAAGCAAGCUUUACAUUUCAAUGCAAACUGAAAAAGACGGCAAGCGCGAAGGAAAGAUGGGGCGCUACAGUGGCGCAUCUCUUACCCAAAAGGGAAGGAUGGUAAGCCAGUGGCAAAGGAGGUCAAGGUGCCAAUUGCCUAUGACUAUGUCCAGACCCUGCUGGAUGAAGUAAUGCAAAAUUUCCAACCUCGUAUGCAGCUGGGGUUGAGAUAUCUCUGCCACGAAAUGUUUUUGAGAAAUAUGACAGGGUUGACAAGAUGCAGGUGGUAUGUGGAAAAAAAGAAUGCACCAGGUUCAACAGAGUUCCGGUUUAAUUAGACUUUUGGAUACUUAAAUCCACAAUAAUUGUUGUUCUCACUCUCCCACUGAGCACGUAUUCUACUAACAACACAGGAUGGCAGAACUCUUCUGUUUUUCUUCCCAAGGAUGUGAUAGAUCCAUUGUGUGAAUCAUCUGUAUGCAAUGCACCUGUAGACCCUGAAUGUUAAAAAAAAGAAUAAAGAAAAACAAGUCAGUGAAA